rnacentral:lncRNA from 1 species
GCCCAAAACCCUAACAAUGUCCUCCCUCUCGAGACCAGCGAGAAAACCUCAGUAGAAGAAUCCAUGCCCAACAAGAAUGAGCAAGAACAAGAUCCUACCUUUGUCCCCGAGUCCGAAAACGGAUAUGGCUUAUAUGGUCACGAGACCACCUACAAUAACAACAAAGAAGAGUUCAACAACAACAACAAGUACGAUGAAAAAUUCAACGGUGAGACUUUCUCAACUCCAAGCUUGAGCGAGACCGAAGAGUCUUACGACAGCUACGACGAGAAGUACCCGAAGAAGACAGAGAGCUACGACAGUAACGGUUACAACAACGAAGAGGUCAACAACAAGUACAAUGAAAAUGUCAAAGAAGAGUCUUUCCCCGAGAACAAUGAAGACAAGAGAAGCUUCUACAACUCCAAUGCUUACGGGACAGAGUUAGAACGUGAAACACCGUACAAAGGUUACAGCCACAAUUUGGAGAGACAAGGCAUGAGUGACACAAGAUACAUGGCGAAAGGUAACUACUAUUACGACCUUUACAACGACAGAAACCACGGCCAUUUCUACCGGAAACCUCACCGUAAAAGCCCCGCCGGUUAUUAUUCUUCUCCGGCGACUGAGAAUAACUACGACCAGACGUAUUCGUACAACAACGAGGAGGAGAAGAGCUUCAAGGAUCCGUACAACUCCAAGUGGGAGAAUAACAUGAUGAACAAACAGCCUGAGGAGUUUGUUGAGGAGCAAGGAGAUCAGUUCAAGCCUUGAUGAUGAUUUGUUAUUUGAAUUUCUCUCA